rnacentral:rRNA from 1 species
CACGUAGGGCGCGAGCGUUGUCCGGAAUUAUUGGGCGUAAAGAGCUCGUAGGCGGUUUGUUGCGUCGGCUGUGAAAUCCCGAGGCUCAACCUCGGGUCUGCAGUCGAUACGAGCAAACUAGAGUGUUGCAGGGGAGACUGGAAUUCCUGGUGUAGCGGUGAAAUGCGCAGAUAUCAGGAGGAACACCGGUGGCGAAGGCGGGUCUCUGGGCAACAACUGACGCUGGAGGAGCGAAGGCGUGGGGAGCGAACAGG